CUGUAGUAGUAAGGGUAGAGAUUAUGGGCUUGUGGGUGGAGCCUGUAGUAGUGUGAGUGAGGGGGCUUGGAGCACUGUGGGUAGUGGUAAUGGCACUAUAGGUAGAGCCUGUAGUGGUGUGAGUGGGGCCUGGCAGUUCUGAAGGGCCAGAGUCUGUGGACUUAUGAACUGAGUCUAGGUGUGCAGAUGGGGCAGGGUCUGUAGAUGUGGGGACAGAGCCUGUUGUACCGAGGGUAGAGCUUGUGGCAGAGUGGCCAGGGUCCAGGGCAGGAGGAACAGGACUGGGGUGCUCUCCAUGGGUGGGAGCUGGGUGUGUAGGUGGGCUAGGUCCCCAGGCUAGGCUUUCUGGGCCAACGGCCUCCACUGAAGCCUCAGCCAAGGCAGCAUCUACACUAGCCUCACUGAUGUGGCUCAGAGUCCGACUGUAGGGUGCAUGCCCAUUUGCCAGGACUGGGGCCACGGCCCCCUCCUCAUCCAAGGGCCCAGAGCUGGGGGUCUCAGGCCUGCGGAAGGCAACUUGGAUGGGAAGGGGCUCGGGCUGCUGCACCAGGGGCCUAGGGGCUGGUGAGUGGCGGGCAGUGCCUGAGAGCUGUGGGCUGGAUGAGUCGUCUGAAGAUUCAGAUGACAGGGACCAUGCUGUCCCAUUCUCCAGCUCCUCCUGCCGUCGCAGCAUGUUCUGAGAAAGAGGAGAGGGCAUUUCAGAACCACCCCCAGGGAGCCUCUGGGGGAUGGUGAGGCCUGGACCUGGGCUAUGACUCACAUAGAAAGCCUGUUCCCGAAGUGAGGGUGUGUCCGGUGGGCUCUGGCUAUAGGUGGAGAAGCGCUUGGUGACUGUGGAGGCCUUGUUGACAGAAGAAGCAGCUGAGGGCUGGUCAUCCUUGUCGAAGGGGCUGGGAAGGGAAGAGGCUGUUGGCAGGUGCCACAGCCCUCCUGGCCCUCCUCCAAGCCUCUCAGCCCCACCAACCUCCAUGUGACUUCCAGGCUGAGCUUGAUGGUACCAAGGUCAUUGAUAUCCACAGCCACAACCUGGGGCAGGGCGGCAAACAGGUCCUUGGUCUCACAGGAGACACUGCCCACAACCACAUGGUUGGCCAGGCCCUUCAGUUCUGUCACCUGUAGCCAAGAGUGCAUGGUAGGGUCACAAGGGUGCAGGGGCUAUGAGAUCAUGGGAAAUCUGAGGUCUGAAUUUGCAUAGAACUUAUAAAAUGGUCAUGGGAGGCUGAGGCAGGAGGAUCACUUAAGGCCAGGAGUUCAAGACCAGCUUGGGCAACAUGGCAAGACUCUGUCUCAAAAAAAAAAAAAAAAAAAAUUUUUAGCCAGGCAUGGUGGUGCACCUGUAGUCCCAGCUACUUGGGAGGCUGAAGUGGGAGGAUGGGUUGAGCCCAGGAGUUUGAGACUGCAGUGAGGUAUGAUUGCACUGCUGCACUCCAACCUGGGUGACAGAGUGAGACCCGCCAACUCCUAGAUAGAUAGACAGACACAUGCAUGCUCAUGGAGCCAUGGAUGCUUGAAGCAGCCUGGGAGCAUGGGAAUCACAGAGGUCUGCAUGGUAGGGUCACUGAGGUCAUAGAGGUCACAGCCUCAUGGGAGCUUAGGAGGUCAAAUAUUCACAGGGUCAGAAGAUCAUGAGGAGGUCACAGGGUCAGGAAGCCAUGAUGUCCUAAGAGUCACAAAGAUUGUUCCUCUCAGGGCCACAGAGAUCAUGAAGGUCAUGGAAUCAUAUCUUCACAGGGCUAUGGAGCUAUGAGGGGAUCACAGGAGUAAGGGACUCAGGGUAAUGGGGGUCACAAGGGGUUCACAGGGCCAUGGUGGCCUGCCGUCCUGGGCAGAGACAUCACCUUAAUAGACAGAAAUUCCGUGAGUAGAGGGAGAAAGAUGGUUUCUUCACUGUCCCACACCUGCUUUCCACUACCCUCAAUUCGGCCCCGUAGUUUCCAGCGCUGACGCCCAUAUUUCAUGCAGAUCUGGGGGAACAGGUAGGAUGAGGCAGCCUAGGUGUUGGGACCCUACCGACCCAGCCCUUCCCUGCACAUUCUCAUACCUCAUACUGAUCGCCUACACACAGCCUGGCGAAGCCAGCCAGCCCUGAGUUGGAGGAGAAGGGGAGAAGUCGGUGAGCCAUAUUGGGGUUCUUCAGCAUACUCCCUCCAGCCCCCCACCUGCCCCCACAACUCAGUACCUUUCAUUCGGAGAUGAAACUCGCCCAGCUGUGCCUCCAGCUCGCUCUCCAGCAGACACAUGCUCUGGGAGGGAGGGGCAGGGACAGGAGGGGGUCAAGGGCCAGCCACUAGCCCUGCCACACCCUGUGCCUCUGCCUCAUGGGCCCCCAUCCCUCACCUCCGUGUACUCGCGAUGCCCCCGAGUGGCCUCUGCCAGGCUGUCCCGGGCCUCUCGGCUUCCCGGGGACCCAGUGGUGUAGGCACGGACCAUGUUGUAGGCACCAUCCCGGAGACGCCGCUGGACACAGUAUGCCUCAUACAGCUCAUCGAUCUGGGAAGGUGAGUGGGGUGACAGUAGGGGGACUGAGACUCACCUCUGGGGUUACUCACCUCUAAGGUUGCUCACCCAGGGCCUGGCACCACCCCUCUUCUCCCUAUGAUAUCCAACCCCCCACCCCACUCUGCACACAUGCUGCACUCGUACCUUGCUGGCAUGGAACUCCAGUCGUCGCAGGAAGCGUUCAAUGGACUUGACUUGCUGGGGGAGAGGUGGGUCAGGAGGGGCCUGAGGCCCAGGGUCCUUACCCUCCCUGUGAGCCAACCCCUUCCAGUACCAUUCCAUGCAUACUCACCUUGUCCAGAUCAUACAGGAAGCCCUGCAGGGGUGGGGAGAAGGGGCAAAUAUUUAGGAGGGAUGAGGAGGACUCCAGCAGAGGCACUCAGACUCGUCACAGCUCCCCUUUCUCACACCACAGUCCACAAGCACUCCUGUCACAGUAGCAACUGACGCCCCUUCCUGCUGGUCUAGCCCUUGGUGGAUGCUGGUAGCACAGAUCUGGUCCCUUCAGCCCCCUCCAGGACCCCUCCUUCCACCUCUUCCCUGGGAUUCCUUUUCCUGCAGCCGCCUGGGGAGAGCUCUCUGCUUCCU
rnacentral:lncRNA from 10 species